AAAAUUAUUUUAAAAAUCGAGAACUGAACUAAAUCAGAAUUGUACUAAAAUUUAAAUUCGAUUUCAGUUCCUAAAUAGACCCUAAAUUAAAAUUGGAAGCAAAAAUCAAACACUUUUAACUAUCACUAUUUGAAGCUUGAAGAUAGACAGAUAUAAUUAGUUACAAAUUUAUGAUAUCUGUAACAACCCAAAUUUUUUAAAAUUAGAAUAAAUAAAUUAAAAAUAAAAAAAUUAAUUAAA
rnacentral:misc_RNA from 1 species